rnacentral:rRNA from 1 species
UACGGAGGAUGCAAGCGUUAUCCGGAAUGAUUGGGCGUAAAGGGUCCGCAGGUGGCAGUGUAAGUCUGCUGUCAAAGAAUGAGGCUUAACCUCAUCAAGGCAGUGGAAACUACACAGCUAGAGUACGGUCGGGGUGGAAGGAAUUCCUGGUGUAGCGGUGAAAUGCGUAGAGAUCAGGAAGAACACCGGUGGCGAAAGCGUUCUGCUAGACCUGUACUGACACUGAGGGACGAAAGCUAGGGGAGCGAAUGGG